rnacentral:tRNA from 1 species
GCCUGGGUGGCUCAGUCGGUUGAGCGUCUGACUUCGGCUCAGGUCAUGAUCUCACAGCUCGUGGGUUUGAGCCCCACGUCCGGCU